rnacentral:rRNA from 1 species
GAGCCAGCCGCCGAAGGUGGGGUAGAUGACUGGGGUGAAGUCGUAACAAGGUAUCCGUACCGGAAGGUGCGGAUGGAUCACCUCCUUUCUAUGGAGA